UCUUUUCCUUUUUUCCUGUCC
rnacentral:piRNA from 1 species